rnacentral:rRNA from 1 species
GAUGAACGCUGGCGGCGUGCCUAAUACAUGCAAGUCGAGCGAACAGACGCGGAGCUUGCUCCUCUGACGUUAGCGGCGGACGGGUGAGUAACACGUGGAUAACCUACCUAUAAGUCUGGGAUAACUUCGGGAAACCGGAGCUAAUACCGGAUAACAUGUUGCACCGCAGUGUUCAACAGUGAAAGUCGGUUUUGCGGUCACUUAUAGCUGGAUUCGCGUCGCAUUAGCUAGUUGGUAGGGUAACGGCUUUCCAAGGGAACGAUGCGUAGCCGAGCGGAGAGGGGGUUCGGCCACUGAGGAGCUGAGCCGCCAUACGGGGACCUAGGGGAGGCAGAAACAGGGAAUCUACCGAAAAGGGCGAAAGCCUGACGGAUCAGCGCAGCGUGGAUGAAGAAGGUCUGCGGGUCGUAAAACGCUGUUAUGGGGGAAGAACAAAUGUGUAAGUACUGUACACGUCUUGACGGUAACGGAUCAGAAAGCAACGGCUAACUACGUG